AUUAAACGCUGGCGGCAUGCCUUACACAUGCAAGUCGAACGGCAGCACGGGGGCAACCCUGGUGGCGAGUGGCGGACGGGUGAGUAAAGCAUCGGAACGUAUCCUGGAGUGGGGGAUAACGUAGCGAAAGUUACGCUAAUACCGCAUAUUCUGUGAGCAGGAAAGCAGGGGAUCGCAAGACCUUGCGCUCUGGGAGCGGCCGAUGUCGGAUUAGCUAGUUGGUGGGGUAAAGGCCUACCAAGGCGACGAUCCGUAGCGGGUCUGAGAGGAUGAUCCGCCACACUGGGACUGAGACACGGCCCAGACUCCUACGGGAGGCAGCAGUGGGGAAUUUUGGACAAUGGCGGAAGCCUGAUCCAGCCAUGCCGCGUGAGUGAAGAAGGCCUCGG
rnacentral:rRNA from 1 species